CUGCGUUGUAUUUAUAAAGAUUUAGGCAUAUAUUAUAUAUAUUUUUAUUUUAAUCGUUUUUUCCUAAUGACAUGAUGAAUCAUUAGUGUUUUCGUUAUAUGACGAAUGAUGUCAUCCUGACCGAUUACAGUGCACAAGUACGAGCGUAAACACAAAUUCUCUCUCCGUUUCCUAACUCGCAUAAUUCGAUUGGACGACAAAUCUGACUCGACUAGAAAGAGUUUAGGCGCAGGACCAACGGCCUAACGUGCUUUCCGAGGAAAGGGAAUAUAAAUAUUGCAAAUUUCAAGACACCAGGCUGCUAGUGACAAUUUCCCUAUAGAAACACCCAGUAACUUUUAAUGGUUCUACCAGAUGUUUACACCAACGAGGCAGUUCAUCUCAUGCUCUGAGAGAAUAUCGUCAAAAACUUGCAUGUAUCGGAUGAAAAUAUUCCACAUUUAUAUCUACUAACCCACAUUGGAGCAGAAUGGAGGAAAAAGCUCUCAACCAUUUCUCAAAAACGUCUAGCCCAGCAUUGGGAGAUUUACGGUCACUGUCUACAAUUAGUGUAUUUUCGUGAUUUAAUGCUUUACACUUUAUCGAUGCGGGAAGUAAAGAUGCAGCUUUCAACGUUCAAGCAGAUGUCAACGUACGCCAACAACCACGGACGGCGACGCACCGCACCAAGGGUCUUCAACAAUACGUGUCGAUAUGUGUCGGUCUUGAGAUUCGAAUAUAUUUUGUAAUUGUAAUUUUACAAAAAUGCAAGGUGAACGUGAAUAGAUAUCGCUGCCGCUUUUGCAAAAACGUUGUCAAGUGUACAGAAAAGGACAAAGACAUACUUAACACCUCCCCUUCCCCCUCAGACGGGUGAAGCCGCGGGCGGAAACUAGUUUGGUGAUAUUAAAAAGUAUUUUUAAACAAAAAAAUAUAAUUAUUGAUAAAAUUCAAAGAUACAAUAGCGUGUUUAUUGUAUCAAGUGGGUGAAAAAUCCAAUUAAAUUUAACAUGCAUGCAAGCUAUUCGAGUAUUAUCUAUUGAUAAUGAUUUCGAUGAAGUUUUUAGAGUUCCGCGAUGAACUCUUUUCUAAUUUGAAACGAAAUAGCUAUCAUAUUUGGUUUUGUUAACACAUACAUAUAAAUUAUAUAAUAUAUAUUAUAUAAUUAUAGAUCUAUACUUCUUAGUUAAUACUAAUCAGUUAUUUCAGAAAUAAUUUCUGUUGUGUUCCCAGACAAAUAAUUUUUUCUUUUAUCGAUUUUCAAUGUGGAUGCUGCGUUGUCACUUAGGGAGUUUCAUUGUUCAAAAUUCGCUCUCCUAGCUUCAAUAAGUUUCUGUUACGGUCCACUCUCUGUCACAAAUAGCAAUGAUGACAUAAUCCUCCAUUUUAUUAGCUUUAGCUGACUCCGUUUUCUUCAUUACAAAGCCGUUGCGUCUACACCUUAGUUUUUAUAUUACGUGUAGCUGUUCACGUACAUCGGUUCAUGUUCUGCAGUUAAUGUUGAUAUAUAUGUCGUUUAAAAACUCUUAAGCUUUAGAAUAUAUAUAUAUACUUAGCUUUUGAAACAUUGUUUUUAAAAAUAUAUUUAUAUAUUAUUGAAUGGUUGAAAAAUAAAGAUUAAAAAAACAACUACUUAUUUGUACAAAAAAUAUCACUUAAAAUAAUAUAACACUCUGAAAUUACAGUAGUAAAUCUUCAGUUAAGCAAGACAGCUCCAGUUUUGAAACGAAGCCGCUACACUAUUCUCGCAUGGUUUGCCACGAAG